rnacentral:rRNA from 1 species
UCUGGUAAUAAUGGCGAGAAGGUCACACCCGUUCCCAUACCGAACACGGAAGUUAAGCUUCUCAGCGCCGAUGGUAGUUGGGACUUUGUCCCUGUGAGAGUAGGACGUUGCCAGAC